GACGAACGCUGGCUGCGUGCUUAACACAUGCAAGUCGAACGCUGAAACCCAGGUGCUUGCACCGGGGUGGAUGAGUGGCGACCGGGUGGGUAACACGUGCGUAACGUGCGCCCGACUUCGGGAUAAGCCCGGGAAACUGGGUGUAAUACCGGAUAUGAGGAUGCCUCGCACGAGGCAUACUGGAGAGUUUUUCCGGUUGGGGUUGGGCUCGCGGCCUAUCAUUUUGUUGGUGAGGUAAUGGCUCACCAAGACGACGACGGGUAGCCGGCCUGGGAGGGCGACCGGCCACACUGGGACUGAGACACGGCCCAGACUCCUACGGGAGGCAGCAGUGGGGAAUAUUGCACAAUGGGGGAAACCCUGGUGCAGCGACGCAGCGUGCGGGAUGACGGCCUUCGGGUUGUAAACCGCUUUCAGCAGGGAAGAAGCCCCUCGGGGUGACGGUACCUGCAGAAGAAGUACCGGCUAACUACGUGCCAGCAGCCGCAGUAA
rnacentral:rRNA from 1 species